rnacentral:rRNA from 1 species
GAUGAACGCUAGCUACAGGCUUAACACAUGCAAGUCGAGGGGCAGCGCAGUGUAGCAAUACAUGGGCGGCGACCGGCGCACGGGUGCGUAACGCGUAUCCAACCUUCCCGUUACUCAGGGAUAGCCUUCCGAAAGGGAGAUUAAUACCUGAUGGUAUUCAAAUUUCGCAUGUUAUUUGAAUUAAAGAUUUAUCGGUAACGGAUGGGGAUGCGUGACAUUAGGUAGAUGGCGGGGUAACGGCCCACCAUGCCUACGAUGUCUAGGGGUUCUGAGAGGAAGGUCCCCCACACUGGAACUGAGACACGGUCCAGACUCCUACGGGAGGCAGCAGUGAGGAAUAUUGGUCAAUGGUCGGAAGACUGAACCAGCCAAGUAGCGUGAAGGAUGAAGGUUCUAUGGAUUGUAAACUUCUUUUAUACGGGAAUAAAACCACCUACGUGUAGGUGCUUGUAUGUACCGUAUGAAUAAGCAUCGGCUAACUCCGUG